rnacentral:rRNA from 1 species
GUAGUCCACACCCUAAACGAUGAGUACUAGUUAUUGGGCUUUUUAAAGCUCAGUGACUUAGCUAACGCAUUAAGUACUCCACCUGGGAAGUACGAUCGCAAGGUUGAAACUCAAAGGAAUUGACGGGGGCCCGCACAAGCAGUGGAGCAUGUGGUUUAAUUCGAUGCAACGCGAAGAACCUUACCUAGGCUUGAAACGCAGAUUAAAUUCAGUGAAAGCUGUUGUCCCGCAAGGGGAAUCUGUACAGGUGCUGCAUGGCUGUCGUCAGCUCGUGCCGUGAGGUGUUGGGUUAAGUCCCGCAACGAGCGCAACCCUCGUCCUUAGUUGCCAUCAAGUAAUGUUGGGCACUCUAAGGAGACUGCCUACGCAAGUAGUGA